rnacentral:rRNA from 1 species
UACGAAGGGGGCUAGCGUUGUUCGGAUUUACUGGGCGUAAAGCGCACGUAGGCGGAUCGUUAAGUCGGGUGUGAAAUCCCCAGGCUUAACCUGGGAACUGCAUUCGAGACUGCAUUGCUAGAGUAUGGGAGAGGGAAGUGGAAUUUCCGGUGUAGCGGUGAAAUGCGUAGAUAUCGGAAGGAACAUCAGUGGCGAAAGCGACUUCCUGGACCAAUACUGACGCUCAUGUGCGAAAGCGUGGGGAGCAAACAGG